GGCCUCACGGUCUAAAAGUUAUGG
rnacentral:siRNA from 1 species